rnacentral:rRNA from 1 species
CCGCUANGGAGUGUGUAACAACUCACCUGCCGAAGCAACUAGCCCUGAAAAUGGAUGGCGCUAAAGCUCCGUGCCUAUACCCGGCCGCCGGAAGGCAUAGGCGUGAGCCGCUCCCCCGUGGGGCGGCGAGCGCGCGAAGCCCCGGCGAGUAGGAGGGCGCGGCGGUGAGCGCGGAAGGGUCUGGGCGUGAGCCUGCCUGGAGCCGCCGCCGGUGCAGAUCUUGGUGGUAGUAGCAAAUACUCAAGCGAGGGCCUUGAGGGCUGAUGUGGAGAAGGGUUUCGUGUGAACAGCCGUUGCACACGAGUCAGUCGAUCCUAAGCCCUAGGAGAAAUCCGAUGUCGAUGCGGGGGGCCGUUCUUGCGUGCUCCCCCUCGAUGGGCGAAAGGGAAUCCGGUUCCUAUUCCGGAACCCGGCAGCGGAACCGAAUCUACGGGCCCUCGUCAGAGAAGCUCGUCGGGGUAACCCAAAGGGACCCGGAGACGCCGUCGGGAGACCCGGGCAGAGUUUUCUGUUCUGCAUAAGCGUUCGAGUUCCCUGGAAUCCUCUAGCAGGGAGAUAGGGUUUGGAACGCGAAGAGCACCGCAGUUGCGGCGGUGUCCGGGUCGUCCCCUCGGACCUUGAAAAUCCGGGAGAGGGUCACGCGGAGGUGUCGCGCCGGCUCGUACCCAUAUCCGCAGCAGGU